rnacentral:misc_RNA from 1 species
UCUCCGUUGGUGAACCAGCGGAGGGAUCAUUACAGAGUUGCAAAACUCCCAUAACCCUUUGUGAACCUACCUUUUAGUUGCUUCGGCAGGCGGCCCAUUCGUGGUCCCCUCGGCCCCUCGCGGGGUGCCUGCCGGAGGUACACCAAACUCUGUAAUUUUAGAGGAAUUCUGAGUAUAAAAACAAAAAGUUAAAACUUUCAGCAACGGAUCUCUUGGUUCUG